GACAGUGUGGUAUAGUGGUUUAAAUGUUAAACUAGGACUCUGGAGAUCAAGGUUCAAUUCCCAGCUUGGCA